rnacentral:tRNA from 1 species
CGGAGCGUAGCGCAGCUUGGUAGCGCAUCUGCUUUGGGAGCAGGGGGUCGGAGGUUCGAAUCCUCUCGCUCCGACCA